CCUACGGGGGGCAGCAGUGGGGGAUAUUGCACAAUGGGGGAAACCCUGAUGCAGCGACGCCGCGUGGGUGAAGAAGUAUUUCGGUAUGUAAAGCCCUAUCAGCAGGGAAGAAAGAAGACGGUACCUGACUAAGAAGCCCCGGCUAACUACGUGCCAGCAGCCGCGGUAAUACGUAGGGGGCGAGCGUUAUCCGGAUUCACUGGGUGUAAAGGGAGCGUAGACGGCCGUGCAAGCCAGGAGUGAAAGCCCGGGGCCCAACCCCGGGACUGCUCUUGGAACUGCGUGGCUGGGGUGCAGGAGGGGCAGGCGGAAUUCCUGGUGUAGCGGUGAAAUGCGUAGAUAUCAGGAGGAACACCGGUGGCGAAGGCGGCCUGCUGGACUGCAACUGACGUUGAGGCCCGAAAGCGUGGGGAGCAAACAGGAUUAGAUACCCCAGUAGUC
rnacentral:rRNA from 1 species